GUAGUCACCUGAGAAGAGACGUAAUAUCAUGAAGGUUGUUUUCCUAGAGUGAGGUUUUUCUAUUGUGUGUACUGACCCUUGCGAUUUCCCUAAGUGUAGGAAAUUCCACUGCAUAAUUUGUGGUAGUGGAGGACUGCGUUAGUGCUUUCCGCUG
rnacentral:snRNA from 1 species